rnacentral:rRNA from 1 species
UACAUGGGGUGCAAACGUUGCUCGGAAUUAUUGGGCGUAAAGCGCACGUAGGCGGUUUGUUAAGUCGGAUGUGAAAUCCCUCGGCUCAACUGAGGAAGUGCAUCCGAAACUGGCAAGCUUGAGUACGAAAGAGGAUCGCGGAAUUCCCGGUGUAGAGGUGAAAUUCGUAGAUAUUCGGAAGAACACCAGUGGCGAAGGCGACUCACUGGACACAUAUUGACGCUGAGGUGCGAAAGCGUGGGGAGCAAACAGG